ACAACGGCUCUUUUAAGAGCCACCCAUAUUCUCAAAGAGAGCUGU
rfam:Canis lupus familiaris chromosome 35, whole genome shotgun sequence.